GAUGAACGCUGGCGGCGUGCUUAGCACAUGCAAGUCGAACGAUGAAGCCCAGCUUGCUGGGUGGAUUAGUGGCGAACGGGUGAGUAACACGUGAGUAACCUGCCCUUGACUCUGGGAUAAGCCUGGGAAACUGGGUCUAAUACUGGAUAUGACUUCUCAUCGCAUGGUGGGGGGUGGAAAGAUUUAUUGGUCUUGGAUGGACUCGCGGCCUAUCAGCUUGUUGGUGAGGUAAUGGCUCACCAAGGCGACGACGGGUAGCCGGCCUGAGAGGGUGACCGGCCACACUGGGACUGAGACACGGCCCAGACUCCUACGGGAGGCAGCAGUGGGGAAUAUUGCACAAUGGGCGCAAGCCUGAUGCAGCGACGCCGCGUGAGGGAUGACGGCCUUCGGGUUGUAAACCUCUUUCAGUAGGGAAGAAGCGAGAGUGACGGUACCUGCAGAAGAAGCGCCGGCUAACUACGU
rnacentral:rRNA from 1 species